rnacentral:rRNA from 1 species
AACGAACGCUGGCGGCAGGCCUAACACAUGCAAGUCGAACGCACCGCAAGGUGAGUGGCGCACGGGUGAGUAACACGCGGGAAUGUAUCCUUUGGUUCGGAAUAACGUCUGGAAACGGACGCUAAUACCGGAUGAGCCCUUAGGGGGAAAGAUUUAUCGCCAAAGGAGCAGCCCGCGUCUGAUUAGGUAGUUGGUGGGGUAAAGGCCUACCAAGCCGACGAUCAGUAGCUGGUCUGAGAGGAUGAUCAGCCACACUGGGACUGAGACACGGCCCAGACUCCUACGUGAGGCAGCAGUGGGGAACAUUGCGCAAUGGGCGAAAGCCUGACGCAGCCAUGCCGCGUGAAUGAUGAAGGUCUUAGGAUUGUAAACUUCUUUUACCAGGGACGAUAAUGACGGUACCUGGAGAAAAAGCCCCGGCUAACUUCGUGCCAGCAGCCGCCGUAAAAC